rnacentral:lncRNA from 1 species
UCGUCGAUGACUAGCUCGAUGCUGCAGCUGUGUGUCUAGUUCUUUGACCUGAGGUACAUCGACAGUUCACCUUGAGUGUGUUAUAGUUUGACUACACCAUAACUCGAUCUCCUAGCCAUUUGGAAUCCUGAGGUGUAUGUUGGCUAUAGCAUAUUCAUUGUAGGAAUCAGAUUGCACCAAGAUGGGAUCUAUCAACCUCG